GACCAGUACAGUAAAGCAAAAGAAAAAUACUUUUAAAGAGAUCCGCCACUUGUACGACCGACCCCGCCCAUGACUCAGACUCUUACACCAUUCACCUCAAUUUUUCAUUUCCUUGCUUUUCCCCCUUCUAAUCUCUACCAUUCAUCUUCCUUUUCCAUCACCAACCUUUAUGCAACCUCCCAUCCAACGGUCAUCAUCUCAUGUGCACCAACUCACAAUGAGGUCUAACUUUAAUUUUUUUUUUUUAUUAAAGCAUCUUUCUAUAAAAUAUUUAAAAAAUCGCAUUAAAUAUUUUUAGUUUUGUUUUUUUAACUCAAUUGACCGAAACUCCGCUUUCCUUCUCUCUAUAUAACCCUUUCCACCCCCUUCUCUCUCCUCAUCCUUUGCUUUUGCUUCCAUUUCUCAUCCCUACUCUCUUAUCUCUGUUUUCAAUUAGCUCUUUUAUUUAAUGGCCGAGACACCAUCAAAACGCCUCAGAGAUGAAGCUCAAAUAGAAGAAGAUGUUAUCUUUGUUGAUGAAACUAAUAAGCGCCAUAAGUCAUAUAACCACAUACUCACUCUUCUUGAAGAAGAAGAAGAUGAAAUAACCCAAGACCUUUCUUCUCUCAUCACUACACUUCAGCAAGAACUCUCCUCUGACUCUACCUUCAACGACCCUCUUUCUUGUGUAACCACAGUAACCGACCAAGAAAGCCCUAUCAAUGCCGUAACGCCCACCUUAGAAGACUGCCCAUCUUCUUCUUCUUCUUCUUCU
rnacentral:misc_RNA from 1 species